GUGCUCACUUUGGCAGCACAUAUACUAAAAUUGAAAUGAUACAGAGAAGAUUAGCAUGGCCCUAUGCAAGGAUGACACACAAAUUUGUGAAGCAUUCCAUAUAUAU
ensembl:snRNA U6 U6 spliceosomal RNA